rnacentral:rRNA from 1 species
GUCCACGCCCUAAACGAUGCUGACUAGUUGUUCGGGAUUUACAUCCUGAGUAACGUAGCUAACGCGUGAAGUCAGCCGCCUGGGGAGUACGGUCGCAAGAUUAAAACUCAAAGGAAUUGACGGGCACCCGCACAAGCGGUGGAUGAUGUGGAUUAAUUCGAUGCAACGCGAAAAACCUUACCUACCCUUGACAUGUCAUUAACGAAGUAGAGAUACAUUAGGUGCCCGUAAGGGAAAGUGAACACAGGUGCUGCAUGGCUGUCGU